UCCCUGGCCGUCCAGUGGUUAGGACUCUGUACUUCCAAUGCAGGAAACCUGGGUUUGAUCCCAGGUCAGGGAA
rfam:Ovis aries breed Texel chromosome 13, whole genome shotgun sequence.